UACGGGGGGGGCAAGCGUUGUUCGGAAUUACUGGGCGUAAAGGGCUCGUAGGCGGCCAACUAAGUCAGACGUGAAAUCCCUCGGCUUAACCGGGGAACUGCGUCUGAUACUGGAUGGCUUGAGGUUGGGAGAGGGAUGCGGAAUUCCAGGUGUAGCGGUGAAAUGCGUAGAUAUCUGGAGGAACACCGGUGGCGAAGGCGGCAUCCUGGACCAAUUCUGACACUGAGGAGCGAAAGCCAGGGGAGCAAACGGG
rnacentral:rRNA from 1 species